rfam:Calypte anna contig11944, whole genome shotgun sequence.
UCCCUCCCUGGAAGGGGUGAUGUGUCAGCACAGAGUCCCAGAUAAGGACUCUGACUGCGUUUGCGUGUGAUGAAACUUCUGAGUGCUCUGACCUUCCAUGGCGUGGG